GGGCUGAGCUGGGACAGGCAGAGCUGAAGCCCAUUGGCUCCAUCCCUCUGCUCUCCCACCUCCGUGCAGCAAAUCAAAGUGCAACAAAUGGCUUUGCAUCAUUUCUUUGAGGAGCCCUGGGCCUUGUAUGUUAUCUUGAGGGCAGAGUAUAUGCUCCAAUAAAAGAAGGCUUUAUUACCGACUGCAACGGAGCCAAGGAUUCAAACACGUAUUGCCUUUGCCCAGGAUUCCUGCCUGUAUCCAGUGCUCUCUGAUGUGGGGCUGCUACCUGUGCCACCUACCUGCGCUGUGACUUGGCUUCCCAUCCUACAGAAGGGGAGGUAACAGUGGGGGUCUGUGGGUUCCAGCAUCUCACACAGCUGUUUCCUAGGCAGGCACUGUGGGAUAUGGAAAGGGGGGAGGGUUUGCCUGGGAAGGAAGGGGCCAUGACACUGCCAGGAAUAGCACCCAGGCGUCCCGUGACCUCAGCUCUCCUGCACAAAAACCCGAUAAGGUUCCUGGGCACUGAGCAGCCGUAGGAGAGCACUGCAAAGACUGCUGUCUGCGCUGCCUCUGAGGAUGAGCCAAGUACCUAAUAGGAGCUGAUGAGCAGAAUGGCACUGAACCUGACUCAGCUCCAACGUUAGCCUCCAUUCACCCUCUGCUGUCGCUAUGGGGAGAUGUGCUGUCCCACACUUCCUAAGCGCGUCUCACGCUUUCUCUGCAGCCUUCUCAGUUUCUCGGGUGCAAAACCCAAGCUUUGGACAACGGCAGAAGCAGUCAAUUAUGUUCUCACUCUGUCUGCUUUGGAAGUCCUGGAGUGUGCUGGUGUGACCACAGCCGUAGGAGCGGGGCGGUUCGGGAUAAAUCAGAAACAAAAGGGCCAUUAUCCAUAUGGGACCCCAUGAGCGCACCGCAUACCCCAGCAAUCCCGAGCACUCUGUGUACGGUUCUCGCUUGGUUUUAACUCAAUUUCUUUGAGAUGCAAAUUAGAGGGAUUAUAUUCAGAGGCUACAUCAGAAAGUCUUUAAUCCAAAUGGGCUAUAAGAUUUAUUUGGAAGAGCCAAAUGUCUUGUCUGGGACAGAAGCAACCGAGCUGAACUGAAACAGAUGGACAUAAAGGAAAUUAAGCAACUCUAAUGGUCUUAUCCAGAGUUUCAAAGUAUUUGGUCUUCGGAAAGCUCCAGCUCCUGGAAGCACGUGAUGAGACGGGGAGCUCAAGUUUCAUUUCAAAACAGGCUUUGCAGUUCACUGAGAAAGACAAUAAUAAUGUUUUUAUUCCUCCUGUGUACGGAGGGAAGGCUGCCUUCCAAACCCCGGCUCCUCAGCUCAGCUCAUGACGUCAGAUGGAAGCGUAUUGCACAACGUUUGCAUUCCUCGUCUUCAUCACAGUGUGGUUAUUUCUGUGGGCUGGAUUUGGGAUUUUGGAAGGCUGAUGGUUCUUGGGGUGCCGGGAGGUGGUCCUCCUCAUCUCUGCAAGGGGAAAGCAUCUGCAGCCUGAGCAGUGAGCAGCAGCAGCCCUCCUGCUUGCAGCUGCACCAUGCCCUGCUUGGCUCAGUGCUGAGUACCCGGAGCAGAGGAGCUUCACGUGUCUGCACGUUUGCCAUCCUUCACCCCAGUGCUUUUGGAUUCGGAUUAAAUAAAAGGGGAUGCGUGGUGGUUGGGGCAUUGGCAUCAACCUAUGGAACAGCCGUUGCGGUGCAGGGCUUGGGAAGGAAGCCACCACCUCCUUCAGCUCCUCCCAUUGAUCUGGACUGGGGAAGGCUCAGCUCCCACCCUGUGCUCGGUGUCCCAGUCCCACAGUGACCAUCCUCAGACCCAGCGCCGUCACCAGGAGCGGAGCAUUGCCCUUCACACACCAUUAUUCCUCACUCCCCAGAGCCUUUUUGUCUCUUAUCAGCAGUGACCCCCGGGCUCUGUUAUCUCCCCCCAGCCAUCCACCCAAGCCAUAGAGCUGUCAGCGUGGGGAAUGACCUUCACCUCCUCGCUCACCUCCAGGAGAUGCUGUGUCCGCUCGGCCGGCUGCGUGGUUGGCUGCAGCAGCACUGCCUGCUGCCCGGAGCCAGGCAAAUGGGAGCUGAAGAGCUACAACAGGAGCCUCUGCAGCCCACAUGCCAGCAGCAGAUCUGUUUUCUGACUGACCCAACAGCAGGGCCCUUCUUGGGACUGGCUAAACGUGGUUACUGAUGCCUACUAAGUAGCUUCUUCCAUGUGCUUGGGUGAAUAAAUUACCCUACAGCUUCCAUCAUCUCGAAGGGCUUGAGCGCAUCCUCUGGCACAAGGCUGGCUUGCAGGAGGAGCAGCCACCAAUGGGAAGGAUGGAGUUAAAUUCCAUAGAGGUGUACAGAGCGGAGAUGGGGUAAGGAGAUGGGUCGGGCAUCAAAGAGAGUGGGCAGGCAAUGUGCAGCUGUAACCAUCCCCACCCAUCGGCAAAACACCCCCUCUAGUAACCCACCAGAGCUCAAAGGCAAGCGAGUGCACGUCUGCGUGGGGGAGCUCCGGGGUGUGCAGCUGGGAGGGAGGAAUGGGCUGCUGGGGGGGCUGGACUGCUGGGCUGGGCUGUGUCCCCAGCUCAGAGCCUCCCCUGGCUGUGGGACAGAGGUUUGUGGUGUUUGGGAAGCAGGAUUUUGGUGCAGGGGACAUCCAGACUCUUGGGUACCAUCCUGCUGAAGGGCACCAGUGUGCCUGCAGCCCUUUAUUCUAGCACCAGGUGCUGGGGAUGCAAUGGGCUUGGACACCUUCGGGGCCAAUGCUCACCAUGACAUUGGGUAUGGGCUGCCAACCUGAAAGUGAGCAGGGCUCUGUAGGAAAGGCAGAAAUUUCUGCUCUGCAUCCCCGUCACAGAGCAGGUGGGGGCCACCUGUGUGUUUCCCAGGUGCUUUUCCACCCUGGGGAGUUGGAGAGGAGGUGGCAGCGUUGUCUGUGGGUUGUUGCUGAACUCGCUCAUGGAUUGCUAAUGAUGUUUGUGAAAGCCUUGAACGAAGACCACACAUGGGAGGCUCAGGCGAGUGAUGUACCUUAGACCUGGAGGGUGCGAGGGAAAAAUGCUUCUGUGCCUGACUCACCGGCUCUGUGCUAACACUGACUCAUAAGUACUGAUUUUGAUUCAGGAAAAAAAAAAAAGAAAAGAUUUAUCUGCAUUCAGACCUAUGGAAGAGGCCAAUGCAACCCGCUAAUGAAGAGGGGAGGUGGUGCUGCUGCGCUGUCCACAGCCCCAUGUGAGGCGUGGGGAGAGCAUGGCAGAUUGGCACUGGGGGCUGUGAUGAGCCCUGGAGAUGGGGAGGGUCCGGUGACCCCCAACCCUGCACAGAGUUGGAUGAGGGAGGGAGAUUUCCUUGGGCCGCAUGGGUACCUCUGGCUCAUUUUCCCAUGGCUUGGCACAGGCAGGCAGCUCUGCAGAUGAAGAUGUCUCACGAGCAGCACGUCGGACCUGAACGCGUGUUUGUGUGGUUCCCCUGCCACCAGCACAACGGGAGCUACACGGCGGCCAGCCAUGCAGAGCCAACAAGAAAAGCCUGCUGAAGAAAGGCACCGGCGCUGACAAUACCCGUUUGCAGGACGGAUUAAGCUUAGAGCAGUGUCUGGGCUUUGUGAAGGGGCAGCUCUGAGCUCCGUGCACGCAGCGUGGUGGCAGGAGGCUACAAAAGCUGGGAUCCCACACAGCCCUAUUGCCAAGCAGUGCUAACCCGGCCCGUGCGAGGCUCAGUCCCCAUCACUGCCAGGACCUGCCACCUCCUGCCCUGCCCUGCCCUCUCCCGGUGCCCUGCCUGUGCCACUUUGCCCCCCUGCUGCUCAACCCUGCUGGAUGCUAAGUGGAAAUCCCCCCCCCCCCCCCCCCCCCCAUGCCAAGUGUUAAAUACUUAUCAAGCUAAUACAGCGUCUUUGUGGAGGUGCGUACAUGAGACAACAUGUUACCAUAAUUAACGAGCAGCUGGAGUUGGCAUCGCGCUGCAGAUGCUGGCGGCGGCUCCCAGCGCCUUUCCCAGGGCUGCAGCUCUGCCCUUCCCCAAUAGUAGGAAAGUGCUGAGUGGGGGGAAUGCCUUGUAGGUCUCUUCCCACCUCGCAGGGGGUGGUGGCGGCUUCCAGCCCGGGGUCUGCAGAGCCGUGGAGGUCUGGGACUGUUUCUGGGUUGGGCAAAUGGGUCUGUUGCCAGCAGGCAAAUGCUUAUACGGGAGGUGAGGAGCUGUUGUGGGGGGCACUGGGUUGGGAGCUGUAAGGAAUCCUGCUGCUGGAGACUCUGGGAGUGAUGGCUUGUCCCUGUGCCAUUGAUGUGGGUGUGGAAUCGCAAGGGCUGGGGCAGCGAUGGCCAGGUGGCACUGGGAUGUGUGUGAUGGGUGUCAGGGACCAAUGGUGGCACCAGUGGUGGAGAAAGCUUGGGAGGAGGGGAGAGGGGCUGGGAUGGGGCUGUGAGCGCAGCCCUGGGGAGGAAGGUGGCAGAGCGGGGUGGUUGGUGGUCAUUUACUUGGUCAGACCUUUUGAGAUGAUGUGGAUCCAUCCCUCUGCUCAGCCCUAAGCAGAGCAGCUGCACAACCCCCCCAUCCUUUUGAAUUGCCUUGAGCUCCCUAACUUUCCAGCCCUGGAGAAGUCAUUGCAGCAGUUGAUGUUUGUAUCAUGACCUACGUUGCUAUUGGGUUUUAAAUAGAUAUAUUUUUACUGUGCUGUAUGCUAGCUUCCCACAUGCAAAUUGCUCUGAGUGAGCCAUUUAUCUGGAAAAUAAAGGUUAUGUUCUCAAAAGGCA
rnacentral:lncRNA from 1 species